UACAGGGGGUGCAAACGUUGCUCGGAAUCAUUGGGCGUAAAAGCGCACGUAGGCGGUUCGUUAUGUCGGAUGUGAAAGCCCUUGGCUUAACCGAGGAAGUGCAUCCGAAACUGGCGAGCUAGAGUACGAAAGAGGAUCGCGGAAUUCCCGGUGUAGAGGUGAAAUUCGUAGAUAUCGGGAGGAACACCGGUGGUGAAGGCGGCGAUCUGGGUCGAUACUGACGCUGAGGUGCGAAAGCGUGGGGAGCAAACAGG
rnacentral:rRNA from 1 species